rnacentral:rRNA from 1 species
GGGCGUGCUAAUCUGCGAUAAGCGCCGGUAAGGUGAUAUGAACCGUUAUAACCGGCGAUACCCGAAUGGGGAAACCCAGUGUGACUCGUCACACUAUCAUUAACUGAAUCCAUAGGUUAAUGAGGCGAACCGGGGGAACUGAAACAUCUAAGUACCCCGAGGAAAAGAAAUCAACCGAGAUUCCCCCAGUAGCGGCGAGCGAACGGGGAGGAGCCCAGAGCCUGAAUCAGCAUGUGUGUUAGUGGAAGCGUCUGGAAAGGCGCGCGAUACAGGGUGACAGCCCCGUACACAAAAGCGCAUGUGCUGUGAGCUCGAUGAGUAGGGCGGGACACGUGGUAUCCUGUCUGAAUAUGGGGGGACCAUCCUCCAAGGCUAAAUACUCCUGACUGACCGAUAGUGAACCAGUACCGUGAGGGAAAGGCGAAAAGAACCCCGGCGAGGGGAGUGAAAAAGAACCUGAAACCGUGUACGUACAAGCAGUGGGAGCCCCACCACUAAGCCAGUGGUGAACUCCACAUACGCAUCCUUUGCUGAGGAUACGGUUAACGGAGCGAAAGCGACGUUCAACCUCAAAAGAAGCAGAGGGGGCUUAGUGGUGGGGUGACUGCGUACCUUUUGUAUAAUGGGUCAGCGACUUAUAUUCUGUAGCAAGGUUAACCGCAU